GGGGUAAUCAAGUUCCAGGAGGGUGGGGAACCAAGUCUGGGCCCUCCAUAGUGGAGUGAUUAUUACUAUCCUGACCCUUUGAGCUUUGACUCAGUAAAGGGUCCGUUGAAUCAUCGAGAAAGGAGGGAAAGCAUAAGCUCCUCUCCGCGGCCAAGGUUGCAGAAAAGCGUCGACUGUCAGAGAUAGAAGGUAGCCAGCUGAAGAAAUCGUCUGUC